GUCGGAGUUGGUAUAGACAGAGUAUAACGUAGCGGUCACAACACUCCGUCUCUUUUCUUGCUACUCACUGCGAUCGCAGCGCUCCAAGUGGUCAGCAAGCGACACUUCUGAAUAUGAUAACAGAACGCGUAAGCGUCGUGUCCGAGACGGAACGAGUGUGCGUGGAGUCCGGGGCUAAAAGCACGUCACUGUCCACCUACGCUGCCUCCGACGCUCCAGCACAUCCGACGCCACCACGGACGCCGUGCCAUGCGCUGAUUUUUAUGCAGUGCGCUGUCGCCGACAAUAUACUGAUGUACUUGUGGACCCCUUAUCCAUGAGAAAUAAAUACUCUUGAACGACA